CUACGGGGCGCAGCAGUGGGGAAUAUUGGACAAUGGGGGCAACCCUGAUCCAGCCAUGCCGCGUGUGUGAAGAAGGCCUUAGGGUUGUAAAGCACUUUCAGUGGUGAGGAAGGCUGAGUAGUUAAUACCUGCUUAGUUUGACGUUAGCCACAGAAGAAGCACCGGCUAACUCUGUGCCAGCAGCCGCGGUAAUACGGAGGGUGCGAGCGUUAAUCGGAAUUACUGGGCGUAAAGCGCGCGUAGGUGGUUUGUUAAGUCGGAUGUGAAAUCCCCGGGCUCAACCUGGGAACUGCACCCGAUAGUGGCAGGCUAGAGUACGAUAGAGGGGUGUGGAAUUUCCGGUGUAGCGGUGAAAUGCGUAGAUAUAGGAAGGAACAUCAGUGGCGAAGGCGACACCCUGGAUUGAUACUGACACUGAGGUGCGAAAGCGUGGGGAGCAAACAGGAUUAGAUACCCGUGUAGUC
rnacentral:rRNA from 1 species